AAUAACAGGAUUAGCAUGUAGAUAUAUGUGUGUAUAUGUGUGUGUGUAUGUGAUGUAUAUAUAUACACGUUGGCUUUGAUUGUGAAGAAAGAUACAGAGGGAUAGAGAGGGAAAGCAUGAGAAUUUGAAGGAACAAGAAAGUAGACGCAAGAAAAAGAAGCGAAAGUGAUGCGGAUAUUUAAAGAUGAAGAAGGAGGAGGUGAAGUUAGAAUAUCAAGAUAUCGCAAAAUGUGUGUGUACGUAAUAAUUGAACAAUGAAAAUUGUGACGCUCACCCGCUAACACACACAGACAAACAAAUUUGUGGAAGAGACAUGGAGUCCUGUUUGGAAUCCGCACCGGAAGGACAAACAAGGAGAUUUCAGACUUCCUCAACAUCAACAGAAGGACUGUGCAAACGGUCAGAAAGGAGCUGAAAGAUUCAGGAUUCGAUUACGAGAUGAUAGCAGAGAAGAAAACCCGUGAUCGACGAACAGACGCCAUCAGAACGUUGGAAUUUGUCACUGAAACCCAGAUCAUCAACAAUGAUCCCAGGUCGAGUGGACAGCAUAGCAACUUAAUCGUCGGUUCGGUCAUUUCUGUUGUACGUCGUUGUGUUAGAAUUUCUUACCAUGAAGCCACUG